rnacentral:rRNA from 1 species
AACAACACUGCCUAUCUGUUUCUCCAUACAUCUGGGAUGCAAUUAGAUCGACAUUUAGGAAAAUUUGGGGUAUUUUUCUAUCCUCUGAUACCCUUACACAGAAGCAGAGUAUGUAUGUUCAGUUUGGUUCAGGGCCACUUGUUCUUAUCAGUUAAUACCACUUAAUUGACACAGUUGGCUAUAGCAGUCACAAGUGUUCUGAACUUUGUACUUUACCAUUGUGGUUGGAGAGUUUUCAAGUCUUUCGGUAGGUGCUUACUGCUAGCUGAGUGGACUAACAGUUUAACUAAUACAUCACUUAUUCCAUUUUCCAGUGCUCAUUCUGACAAUAUUGAGAAGAGGCCACCAUCAAACAGUGAGACAUUAGCAAUUCUCAGAAAGUAAUGGCGGAGAUUGUGAUUCUUCUAGCCAUUAAAAAGAUCGGAAUCGCCUUGGCAAGUAGAGCGGCAGACCAUGUCAGCGUGCACUUUGCAAAGUACAAGACACAACUAUUGGAGCUACAGGGCAGUAUGGGUCGUGUUGCAAGGGAGCUUCGCAUAAUGCAUGAUGUUCUAUGUCACAUGGACAUUCGAAACUGCAACAGUCAAGUAUAUGACGGCUGGUUGGAGGAGGUACGGAAAGUAGCACAUGUGAUGGAGGACAUGGUGGAUGAGUACUUGUAUCUAGUAGGACAGAAACAUGAUACAGGGUCUUGCUUUUACCUCAAAAAGGGGUUCAGAAAACAAAGUUCUCUGCUUUCUAUGAACCAGAUAGCUGUCAAGGUGAAAGAAAUAGAGAAAGACCUUACUCACCUGUCAGAGACAAAAACCCGUUGGGUUCCCAUGAUAAACAACGGGGAUAGUGGCAGCACUAAUUACAUCGUCAAGAGGUCCCAAGAUCUAGCAAAAAUUUCACGUUCCCUUGACGAAGAAGAUCUAGUGGGGGUUGAUAAAAACAGAGAAAAACUUGAGCAGUGGUUGGCAGGCGAUGAUUUUGGACACUCUGUAAUAGCCCUGCUUGGAAUGGGAGGUCUUGGUAAAACUGCUUUAGCUGCAAAUGUGUACAAGAAGGCAAGGGAGAAAUUUCAGUGCCACGCCUGGAUCUCCGUCUCCCAAACUUAUUCUAGAGAAGAUGUCUUGAAGAAUAUAAGCAAGGAACUUUUCAAAGAUAAUGUCAGUGUUCUAUCUAAAACUCCAGCUAUGGACAUCACAUGCCUUGAAGAGACAAUGAAGAGUUUUCUGGAGCAACAAAAGUAUUUGAUCAUAUUGGAUGAUGUUUGGACUCCAGAAACAUUUGAUGACUUGUCUAGGGUGCUUACUAAUAAUGAUAAAGGUAGUAGAAUUAUAAUGACAACAAGGGAAGGCCAUGUUGCUGCACUUGCCUCUCCAGGACACAUCUUAACACUAGCACCUUUACCAGAAGAUAAGGCAUGUGAUCUCUUUUGUAAAAAAGCCUUUCCAAGAGAUACUGAUCAUGAAUGUCCUGUGGAGUUGAAGCCUUUGUCCGAACAAAUAGUUAACAAAUGCAAAGGCUUGCCCCUUGUUAUUGUAUUAGUUGGUAGCCUUUUGUGUGUGCGCGAGAAAACAGUGGAAGAAUGGAGAAGAAUUAAUGAUCAAUUGAGUUGGGAGCUAAAUAACAAUUCAAGGUUUGAUCACAUAAGGAAUGUUUUGCAUCUGAGCUUCAUCUACCUUCCAACACACUUGAAAAGUUGUUUCCUGUACUGCAGCUUAUUUCCAGAAGACUAUCUUCUCAAAAGGAAACAACUUGUACGGUUAUGGAUAGCAGAGGGGUUCAUCGAGGGAAGGGGUGAUAGCACAUUAGAAGAAGUGGCAGAAGGCUAUCUGAAGGAGUUGAUUGAUAGAAACAUGCUGCAACUUGUUGAAAGGAAUAAUUUUGGUAGGAUGAAAAGAUUCAGAAUGCAUGACAUCUUACGUGAAUUGGCAGUUGACUUGUGCCAGAAGAACUGUUUUGGUGUUAUAUACGAGGAUAAGUGUGGGGGUUCUCUACAGAUGGAUGGACGUCGAUUGGUAAUGCAUAGAGUGAAGAAGGAUAUUCACCAGUCAUUUUCUAGCAUGCACCACCUUCGAACUGUCAUUAUACUGGAUGGCUGCAUGCCAUCAUUCACUCUACUUCCUCUGCUAUGUAAGAAAUCAAGAUAUAUGGCAGUGCUAGAAUUAAGUGGUCUACCUAUCGAGAAGCUUCCAGAUGCUAUUGGUGAUCUUUUUAAUCUCCGCCAUUUGUGUUUACGUGAUACAAAAGUGAAGGUGCUCCCGAAGUCUGUUGAGAAGCUUUCAAAUUUGUUGACACUGGACCUUCAUGGAUCUGACAUACAUGAGUUGCCUAGUGGGAUCGGGAAACUGAAGAAGCUUAGGCACUUAUUUGCUGAGAAAACAAUUGACCCAGAUUGGAGAGAGAUUCAAUGUUGCAGUGGUAUGUGUAUCCCCAAAGGUCUUGGAAAUCUAACAAACCUACAGACAUUACAAGCAUUGGAAGCACAAGAUGAGUCUGUUAGACAUUUAUGGGAGCUGACACAAGUGAGAAGUUUGAGGUUAUGGAAUGUGAAAGGAAACUACUGUGGCCGCAUCGGUGAGUCUCUAGUUCGGAUGCGCUAUUUGUCCUGCCUAGAUGUGAAUGCAAGUGCUGAGAACGAGGUUCUCUUGUUGAAUGUCUACCUGCCAAGCCUGCAAAAGCUGUAUUUGAGAGGACGACUAGCGGAAGGGGCUUUCGACGAGUCUCCUCUCUUCCAAGCUGUUGGGGGGCAGAACUUGCAUGUAUUGAAUCUAUCUUUAUCACAAUUGAGAGAAGACCCCCUGCCAUCCCUUUCUCGGUUGUCAAAUUUGACGCGUCUACAAUUCACUAGAGCCUACAACGGAGAGCAGCUGACAUUUCGCACAGGGUGGUUUCCCAAGCUAAAGAUUCUCGUUCUAAGAGACAUGCCUAAUCUGAAUCGGCUAGAGAUACAUAAAGGUGCCAUGGCGAGCCUGGAAAGAUUAGUCUUAGCCAACCUCAGCGGUAUGAUGGAGGUCCCACCUGGCAUUGAGUUUCUCAUGCCCCUCCAGCGUCUGGUCUUCCAGGAAAUCACCAAUGACUUCUUGACAUUGUUGCGCGAGUGUUCUGCAAUUCAAGGGGCCCAUGCGGUGUAUUCUCUCCGAUAUUGAAAUGCCCAGACUGGUUUGGAAAUGUGUGUGUACAUAAGUCACCGGCGGAAACGAAGAUGCUUCGCUAUGGAGUUCAUUAUUGUAGAUCAAGGAAAAAGGAGUAUCCGAUUCCAGUGUUAGUGUACGCUCGUGCUGCUGCUGAUUGUGCAUACUUUCCGGGUUUCCUCUGCUUUUAUUCAAGACGCACCAUUUGUUGCUUGUUCCACCUCCGCCACUGUUCGUGCCAUGGUGUGCUUUCCCUUGUCAAGUGUGACAAUCUUUCGUAUUGGUUUGUUCUGGUUGUGGCUAAAGGCGAGUGCUGUUUUCAUAUUCAGACUAAUUUUCACAUUACUUGUUUGAACUGUAUACUGCUAUUUCGUGUGCAUUCUUGUUCUGAGCAUAUUCCAGCUGUGUCUGUUAAAUAAAAGACUUAGUUUGCGAUUCUUAGUUAUUGCUCGGGCAUUCAUUUUUAUUGUCACUAUGGUUGUUGCAUGUCUGUUUUAUUGCUAGCCUUGUUGUGUCCCGUUUUAUAUCUCUUAUUUUGGACAUCUGUGAAUGUUGUUUCUUUCUUGGAUUACGUUCCUUGUUUUCUUGAGAAAUAUGCAGUGAAAAUGUUUUGGAAAGCACGCGGCAUGUUUAUACAUGUCCUUAAGAUUUUCCUUUUUAAAAUCGUGAACACACGGAGGAGGCGAUGGGUGAGCUGAUGUAAUCAAAUUACUUUCUACUCCUAGAUGAUAUGGGGGGUUGCAGUUCAAGCUGUACCAAACCAUGUUAUGCUUCACAGACAAUGCAUUCAGCAGCCCGA